rnacentral:rRNA from 1 species
GGCCCAGACUCCUACGGGAGGCAGCAGUGGGGAAUAUUGGGCAAUGGGCGCAAGCCUGACCCAGCAACGCCGCGUGAAGGAAGAAGGCUUUCGGGUUGUAAACUUCUUUUCUCGGGGACGAAGAAAGUGACGGUACUUGAUGAAUAAGCCACGGCUAACUACGUGCCAGCAGCCGCGGUAAUACGUAGGUGGCAAGCGUUAUCCGGAUUUACUGGGUGUAAAGGGCGUGUAGGCGGGUCUGCAAGUCAGAUGUGAAAUUCCAGGGCUCAACCCUGGACCUGCAUUUGAAACUGUAGAUCUUGAGUGAUGGAGAGGCAGGCGGAAUUCCGUGUGUAGCGGUGAAAUGCGUAGAUAUACGGAGGAACACCAGUGGCGAAGGCGGCCUGCUGGACAUUAACUGACGCUGAGGCGCGAAAGCGUGGGGAGCAAACAGGAUUAGAUACCCUCGUAA